AGAGUUUGAUCCUGGCUCAGAUUGAACGCUGGCGGCAGGCUUAACACAUGCAAGUCGAGCGGUAGAGAGAAGCUUGCUUCUCUUGAGAGCGGCGGACGGGUGAGUAACGCGUAGAAAUCUGCCUGGUAGUGGGGGAUAGCCCAGAGAAAUUUGGAUUAAUACCGCAUACGCCCUACGGGGGAAAGCAGGGGACCUUCGGGCCUUGCGCUAUCAGAUGAGUCUGCGUCGGAUUAGCUUGUUGGUGAGGUAAUGGCUCACCAAGGCGACGAUCCGUAGCUGGUCUGAGAGGAUGAUCAGCCACACUGGGACUGAGACACGGCCCAGACUCCUACGGGAGGCAGCAGUGGGGAAUAUUGCACAAUGGGCGAAAGCCUGAUGCAGCCAUGCCGCGUGUGUGAAGAAGGCCUUAGGGUUGUAAAGCACUUUCAGCAGUGAGGAAAGGUUGUAACUUAAUACGUUGCAGCUAUGACGUUAACUGCAGAAGAAGGACCGGCUAACUCCGUGCCAGCAGCCGCGGUAAUAC
rnacentral:rRNA from 1 species